rnacentral:rRNA from 1 species
AUUGAACGCUGGCGGCAGGCCUAACACAUGCAAGUCGAGCGGAUGAAGGGAGCUUGCUCCUGGAUUCAGCGGCGGACGGGUGAGUAAUGCCUAGGAAUCUGCCUGGUAGUGGGGGAUAACGUCCGGAAACGGGCGCUAAUACCGCAUACGUCCUGAGGGAGAAAGUGGGGGAUCUUCGGACCUCACGCUAUCAGAUGAGCCUAGGUCGGAUUAGCUAGUUGGUGGGGUAAAGGCCUACCAAGGCGACGAUCCGUAACUGGUCUGAGAGGAUGAUCAGUCACACUAGAACUGAGACACGGUCCAGACUCCUACGGGAGACAGCAGUGGGGAAUAUUGGACAGUGGGCGAAAGCCUGAUCCAGCCAUGCCGCGUGUGUGAAGAAGGUCUUCGGAUUGUAAAGCACUUUAAGUUGGGAGGAAGGGCAGUAAGUUAAUACCUUGCUGUUUUGACGUUACCAACAGAAUAAGCACCGGCUAACUUCGUG